GUGAGGUCGUGAGGCCAAGUGGUUAAGGCGAUGGACUAGAGAUCCAUUGGGGUUUCCUCGCGCAGGUUCGAAUCCUGCCGACUACG